rnacentral:misc_RNA from 1 species
CUUUUGAAUUUCAGGACAGUAAACGUGAGUUUCCAAUGUUUUCAAUUUGUGUCAAAUUUUUACAAAGAGAUACAGGUUGAAAUGUAUUUAAUACUAAAAUUUGAAACAUUUUGUUUAUUUUUUGAAGUGGUAUACAGUGAUAAUGAUGAUGAUAAGUGGUGAACAUAUGAUACUUUUAAAUGUUAUAUAUUCAGCACUCAACCUGGCGUCAACGGUGAGUUGUGACUCCAGGGAGAUUAGGCUUAAAGCUGACUGCCAUGUCGGUUGUUCUCAUCCUUCGAAGCGAGUAACGCUUUUAACGUGACGUUAAGUUAUACUUGUAGGUUAGAACACGGUAAUAGGCCUAAAGUUUGCACCAUAUUUAUAUAUAUCAUAUAUCAAUUUCUCUUUGGGCCAUCUUUGGAAAACAUCCUAAUUUCGUACCAGAUAACUGUUUAUGUACCAUAUGUUUUGGAAGAAUUAUCGUGUGGUUUUUACUAUGAUAGAAUCGAUUCAAUAAUGUCGAAACCAGCGCUUAAACGGCCGGUCACUCCUAACUCGGUGCGGACGGAGACAACAAAUACAGGGUUGCCCGUGUCUGGUCAGAUGAAAAGCUAUCAGCAUUGGAGCCAGACUGUUUAUGAAAGUCUUGUAGGUACAGGACCCGACGGUAUCUUAAACUUAUCAAUUGAAGGAGGUUCAGAUAAUGGCGAAUUUGCUUUCAUCGGACCACUUGAUCAAGAUAGGGUUACAUAUAUUGAUGGGUUUGUUGAAGAAGGGGACAUUGUUUUGGAAGUACAAGGACAGAAAGUUGCAGGCUACACACAAAGGGAUGUUGUUGCUUGGUUGAAUCAUUGCUGUAGAAAUGGAAAUCCAGUCUCUAUUAAAGCAGCAAAAGCGGGGUACCUAACCAGAGAUCUCCGCCAGUACCUGAACACCCGUUUUCAGAAAGGUUCUGUAGAUCAUGAUCUUCAGAACACCAUCAGAGACAAUCUCUACCUCCGUACAGUACCUUGCACUACAAGACCUCCAAGGCCAGGAGAAGUUAAUGGAAUAGAUUAUACAUUCCUUACACCUGAAGAAUUCAUUGCCCUAGAGAAAAGUGGAAAUUUAUUAGAAAGUGGAAUUUAUGAUGGGAAGCAUUAUGGCACUCCUAAGCCAGCUCCCUCAGCUUCUGCUCUCUUUUCUGACUCUUCUCUUCGGAUUGACCAUCCUGUGGCACGCAAUCAUUAUGGCACUCCCAAACCCCCCAGAGAGAGUCCCAUGUCUAUGCCACGACGAACAAAUUCCAUCGGAAAUACUGGCAGUGUUGUUCUUCCUGGUGCACACCCUUCUUCUGAAGGAAAGAGACGACGAAAUCGUUCUAAUGUAGAAGCGAUGGCAGCCAAAAACAUGGAUCCCAUAGAAGCAGCAGAUUAUCCUCUCUUAUCAAAUCAGAAUGCGAGAUCAUCUACACCUCAAUCUUCAAAAAGUGGAUACAGAAACUCCAGUAACAUGGAUCAUAAUGAUUCUGUAACUGAUCUUGGUCCUCUACCUGACAACUGGGAAAAGGCCUAUACAGAAACUGGAGAAAUAUAUUUUAUAGAUCACAACCAUGGCACAUCUCAGUGGUUAGACCCUCGGUUAGCUAGAAUACAAAAGACAGCUAUUGAAGAAUGUGACGAAGAUGAACUUCCUUAUGGUUGGGAAAAAAUUGAUGACCCCCACUAUGGAACCUACUUUAUAGAUCAUGUAAAUAGAAGAACACAGUAUGAAAACCCAGUUUUACAGGCAAAACGUGGGACAAAUGAUGGGUUAGAUCUCAGUAGUAGACGAGAGCGAGAAGACAUUCCACGCUCUAGGCCACCACCUUUACGUGACGAUUACAGAGUGGACAGUGCCAAUUCUUCCGUGCAUCAUAGCCAGGGUCCAACUAACAGAAGUACAACUGGUCGUAGACUACCUUAUGUCUUUACCUCCAACCCUGCCGAACUUAGAGGGGAGGUUCUUCGUACAUCACUAGUGAAGAGUACUCGAGGAUUUGGUUUCACUAUUGUUGGAGGAGAUAAUGCAGAAGAAUUUUUACAGAUUAAAAGUGUUGUUCCAAAUGGUCCUGCUUGGAAGGAUGGGAAACUUCAAACUGGGGAUGUCCUGGUAUUCAUGGAUGACAAGUGUGUUCUAGGAUUUACACAUCAGGAUAUGGUGGAACUCUUUCAGUCCAUACCACCUGGAAACACUGUGCACUUAGAAGUUUGCAGAGGAUAUCCUUUACCAUUUGAUCCCAAUGAUCCCAACACAGAAAUAGUGACCACAGUUGCUGUGACAUCUAGUAACACACAAUAUGCUGAUGGUCAGAGUAUGUACUCUUCUGGCCAAGGAGGAACAAAAAUGGACAACUCUCGACUUUCAGGAGAUCCUGGAGAGGUAGAAUCAAUGGGCCGAUCUUCAAAGUCAAUGCCUGACCUUAGCACGGGUCAGGUUGACCACCAACAUCCUCAAAGACAUAAUAGUGCAGACAUUCUAAGCCCUAGUGGAGCAGACAACACUCCUGAUAUCCUGGACUUCAACCCUCAAAGUCCACACAAACCAGAAUUUUUAACAGUAGAGAUAGUAAAAGGAAGUGGAGGAUUUGGUUUUACAAUUGCAGAUAGUGCCUAUGGACAGAAAGUUAAAAAAAUUCUGGAUUGGCCACGAUGUCAGCUGUUACAAGAAGGUGACAUUUUAGUUGAAAUUAACAAUCUGGAUGUUCGUGGACUUUCUCAUGCUGAUGUAGUGCAAGUACUGAAAGAGUGUCCCAGUGGGGAUCAGGCUCGCAUCACUAUGCAGCGAGGAGGGAUUGCCUCACCUAUUAAGGGAAAGGGGAAGGCAUCAAAGAUAAAGUCCCCUGAUGAUCCAAGUGGCAUUCGAAAAUCAACAACUAGCCCUGCCUCUCACUCCAUGCAUGCUAAUUCUUCACAAGGCCAUCUUCCUUCUAUUCCUGGAGCAUAUCGAAGUAAAACUCCAACAGCUGACCUCUACAGUUCCAGAGACAAAGAAGCCAUCUCAGUUAACCGACCAAAAACUCCACUAGUUGAUACCAGGAACUGGAUUAGAUCACCAAGCAGUGAAAUAUCUUCAUCCCAGCAAGAAUCCUCCAGGUUACCCUCCACUGGUUCAGGAAAUGUGCCAAAUGUGAGAGGGAUUGGUGAUACAAGUAAUACUUCUUUUGGUAGAAAUGAAUCUUACUCAGGGUUGUUAAAAGUCAUGGAUCAGAGUGGCUCAUCUAGGGCUAUUCCUGAGAAGUCUUGGUAUAGUGACCAGAGUCGAGAACCACUUUGGAACUAUCACAGCUUCAGGGAGUCUGGAGGUUCAGGCAUGAAUACAAGUGAGGGAGACAGAAAACAGGAAAUGCUUUAUGGGUAUACAUCCCGUGUCAGUGGAGAUCUGUACAGAGAUAUGGGGCCAGCUUUCAGAAAUCCCAUUUAUUCUCAUAGUCCUGGUACUCGAAGUGAAAGAACAGAGAAUGAGUCUUUCUCUGCUUUGCCAUAUAAUACUAGAACUAACAUAGGCUACCUUCAUGGUUAUGGUGAUAUAGAAGACUCUUAUAGAGACAAUCAGGAUCUCAAUUCUGUACUUAACCACAGUAAAUCAAAUAAUAACAGAGGGGGUUUGGGUUAUUCUCCAUAUGGUACUAGCCAUGGUUACAGUAGAACUUUGUAUCCAAGCAAUGGAAAUAUUUCAGGAGAAUUACCACCUGGAAUUAGCCCACAUGACCCUUUACAGACUCCUUCUGGUAAUGAAAUGAGUUCUGUCUACUUAACUCCUCCAUCUUCCUACUACAUUGCACCAAAUAACUCUAGAGCAGGCUCUCAGUAUGACAGUCUGACUCGACGGAAACACAGUACGUCUUUUGAACACGAGCAGCCUGCAGCUGUCUCAUUGAAUCACGUACCAAGAGAUUCCAGGUCCACCAAUAGUAGCCUCAGUCCUAACCCAUAUGGCACAAUGGGUCCAAGACCACCACCAGUUGGCCGGACCCCUGAUUGUCUAGAAAUGACUGUAACACUUGUGAGGCAAGAAAGUGGUUUUGGUUUCCGUAUUGUUGGAGGGACAGAAGAAGGUUCACAGGUAUCUAUUGGUCAUAUUGUACCAGGUGGAGCAGCAGAUCUAGAUGGACGACUUCGUUCAGGUGAUGAAAUAGUCUCUGUUGACAACCAAGUAGUCCUUAAUACGUCACAUCAUCAUGUAGUUCAGUUAAUGGGGAAUGCUGCACUAAAUGGCAGGGUAACAUUAGGGCUGAGAAGAAGACACUCGUCUUUAGAUCCCUUAAACCACCACAAAUCAACUGAAAACAUAUAUCCAUAUGACAUAACAGUGAAAAGAAAGGAGAAUGAAGGAUUUGGAUUUGUCAUAAUAUCUUCAGUUAGCAAAGCAGGAUCAACAAUAGGUAGGAUUAUUGAAGGAAGUCCAGCUGAACGUUGUGUCCAACUCCAUGUUGGAGACCGCAUAUUAGCUGUGAAUGGCAUAAGCAUCUUAAACAUGCAUCAUGGUGAGAUUGUGAAUCUGAUUAAAGAUUCUGGAUACUCUGUUGUUCUCACCAUUGGUCCUCCUCAAGAUGACACUUCCAGCACAGCAUCAACUUCACAUAGGAGCUCUAGAACAUCUUUGCUUCAUGUCACAGCUGUUCCAAUGCUCCCACUGACUGAUCCUGAUUUUUCACAAAGGGUUUAUGACACUCAGACUCUGCAUUCAUCCUCUUCUGUUGAUUCUCAGUACAGGGGGAGGAACACUCAACUGACCAAGAUGUUCAGUACUAUUCCGUAGAGCUUCAUCGAGGGACUCGGGGGUUUGGCUUCAGUAUCCGGGGUGGUAAAGAGUUUCAGAACAUGCCUCUCUUUGUGCUUAGGAUAGCAGAAAAUGGUCCAGCACAUCAGGAUAACAGGUUACAGGUUGGUGACCAGAUAAUUGAAAUCAAUGGAAUCAACACCAAGAAUAUGACUCAUGCAGAAGCGAUAGAACUCAUCAGACAGGGUAGCAGCAGUGUUAGAUUGCUAGUUAAGAGAGGAGGAAAGUUGCCUUCUG